GAUUCUGGCUCAGGAUGAACGCUAGCGAUAGGCCUAACACAUGCAAGUCGAGGGGCAUCACAUGAGGUAGCAAUACCGAUGGUGGCGACCGGCGCACGGGUGAGUAACACGUAUGCAACCUGCCUUCAACAAGGGCAUAACCCGUUGAAAGACGGACUAAUUCCCUAUGACACAGGGGUCCCGCAUGGGGAUAUUUGUUAAAGAUUAAUCGGUUGGAGAUGGGCAUGCGUUCCAUUAGCUUGUUGGCGGGGUAACGGCCCACCAAGGCAACGAUGGAUAGGGGAACUGAGAGGUUUAUCCCCCACACUGGUACUGAGACACGGACCAGACUCCUACGGGAGGCAGCAGUGAGGAAUAUUGGUCAAUGGGCGCAAGCCUGAACCAGCCACGUCCGCGUGAAGGAAGACGGCCCUACGGGUUGUAAACUUCUUUUGCAAGGGAAUAAAGUUGGCCACGCGUGGCCUUUUGCAUGUACCUUGCGAAUAAGGAUCGGCUAACUCCGUGCCAGCCGCCGC
rnacentral:rRNA from 1 species